rnacentral:rRNA from 1 species
UACGGGGGGGGCAAGCGUUGUUCGGAAUUACUGGGCGUAAAGGGCUCGUAGGUGGCCAACUAAGUCAGACGUGAAAUCCCUCGGCUUAACCGGGGAACUGCGUCUGAUACUGGAUGACUAGAGGACCGGAGAGGAUAGUGGAAUUCCCAGUGUAGUGGUGAAAUACGUAGAGAUUGGGAAGAACACCAGUGGCGAAGGCGGCUAUCUGGACGGUUUCUGACGCUAAGACGCGAAAGCGUGGGGAGCAAACAGG